rnacentral:rRNA from 1 species
GACGAACGCUGGCGGCGUGCUUAACACAUGCAAGUCGAACGGAAAGGCCUGCUUUCCCUUGUGGAUUGCGGGUACUCGAGUGGCGAACGGGCGAGUAACACGUGAGUGAUCUGCCCCCAACUUUGGUAUAAGCCUGGGAAACUGGGUCUAAUUCCCGAUAGGACUGCAGGGUGGUGCCUGUGGUGGAAAACGAUUUUCUAGUGGUUGGGGAUGAGCUCGCGGCCUAUCAGCUUGUUGGUGGGGUAAUGGCCUACCAAGGCGGCGACGGGUAGCCGGCCUGGGAGGGUGGACGGCCACAUUGGAACUGAGAUACGGCCCAGACUCCUACGGGAGGCAGCAGUGGGGAAUAUUGCACAAUGGGCGGAAGCCUGAUGCAGCGACGCCGCGUGGGGGAUGACGGCCUUCGGGUUGUAAACUCCUUUCGACCGCGAGGAAGCCACCUGGUUGGAAGGGUGGUGACGGUAGUGGUAGAAGAAGCACCGGCUAACUACGUG